rfam:Macrophomina phaseolina MS6 contig00411, whole genome shotgun sequence.
GCGCCGAUGGUGUAAUGGUUAGCAUUAAUGCCUUCCAAGGAUCCCAAGCCAUCGACCUACGGUUCCAACGUCAGCAUUAGAUUCGGGUUCAAUUCCCGAUCGGCGCA